CUACCUCUGUGAGUCGUUGAGUGUGUGUGAGUGUGUGUGUGUGAGUAUGCGGGUAUGCACAUGCGCCCACCCACCUCCCUCUCCC
rnacentral:pre_miRNA from 1 species